rnacentral:rRNA from 1 species
GACGAACGCUGGCGGCGUGCCUAAUACAUGCAAGUAGAACGCACAGUUUAUACCGUAGCUUGCUACACCAUAGACUGUGAGUUGCGAACGGGUGAGUAACGCGUAGGUAACCUGCCUGGUAGCGGGUGAUAACUAUUGGAAACGAUAGCUAAUACCGCAUAAUAUUAAUUAUUGCAUGAUAAUUGAUUGAAAGAUGCAACUGCAUCACUACCAGAUGGACCUGCGUUGUAUUAGCUAGUAGGUGAGGUAACGGCUCACCUAGGCGACGAUACAUAGCCGACCUGAGAGGGGGAUCGGCCACACUGGGACUGAGACACGGCCCAGACUCCUACGGGAGGCAGCAGUAGGGAAUCUUCGGCAAUGGACGAAAGUCUGACCGAGCAACGCCGCGUGAGUGAAGAAGGUUGUCGGAUCGUAAAGCUCUGUUGUAAGAGAAGAACGGGUGUGAGAGUGGAAAGUUCACACUGUGACGGUACCUUACCAGAAAGGGACGGCUAACUACGUG